rnacentral:rRNA from 1 species
UACGUAGGGGGCAAGCGUUGUCCGGAUUUAUUGGGCGUAAAGAGCGUGUAGGCGGCCAGGUAGGUCAGCUGUGAAAACUCGAGGCUCAACCUCGAGACGUCGGUUGAAACCACCUGGCUAGAGUCCGGAAGAGGAGAGUGGAAUUCCUGGUGUAGCGGUGAAAUGCGCAGAUAUCAGGAAGAACACCCGUGGCGAAGGCGGCUCUCUGGGACGUAACUGACGCUGAGACGCGAAAGCGUGGGGAGCAAACAGG